rfam:Lactobacillus casei ATCC 334, complete genome.
AAUUAUAUGCUAUACUAAACAUAGCAGAAAAGUUAAAGGCGGUGGCGACUUCCGUAGAUUGGAGGUGGUGCUUAUGGUGUAAAAACCAACGUACCACGAUACCAACGAAAGGAGAAGCCUUGUGUCCAUUUCGGACGCUUUACAGCUUAUGCUAGGGUUCGGCAUGUUUGUCGUAGCCCUGUUAGCGUUAG